rnacentral:rRNA from 1 species
AGUGAACGCUGGCGGUAGGCCUAACACAUGCAAGUCGAACGGCAGCACAGUAAGAGCUUGCUCUUACGGGUGGCGAGUGGCGGACGGGUGAGGAAUACAUCGGAAUCUACUUUUUCGUGGGGGAUAACGUAGGGAAACUUACGCUAAUACCGCAUACGACCUACGGGUGAAAGCAGGGGAUCUUCGGACCUUGCGCGAUUGAAUGAGCCGAUGUCGGAUUAGCUAGUUGGCGGGGUAAAGGCCCACCAAGGCGACGAUCCGUAGCUGGUCUGAGAGGAUGAUAAGCGACACUGGAACUGAGACACGGACAAGACUCCUAAGGGAGGCAGCAGUGGGGAAUAUUGGACAAUGGGCGCAAGCAUGAUCCAGCCAUACCGCGUGGGUGAAGAAGGCCUUCGGGUUGUAAAGACCUUUUGUUGGGAAAGAAAAGCAGCAGGUUAAUACCCCGCUGUUCUGACGGUACCCAAAGAAUAAGCACCGGCUAACUUCGUG